rnacentral:rRNA from 1 species
UACGAGGGGGGCAAGCGUUGUUCGGAAUUAUUGGGCGUAAAGCGCGUGUAGGCGGUCCGGUAAGUCCGCUGUGAAAGUCGAGGGCUCAACCCUCGAAUGCCGGUGGAUACUGUCGGGCUAGAGUACGGAAGAGGCGAGUGGAAUUCCUGGUGUAGCGGUGAAAUGCGCAGAUAUCAGGAGGAACACCAAUUGCGAAGGCAGCUCGCUGGGACGUUACUGACGCUGAGACGCGAAAGCGUGGGGAGCAAACAGG